UGACUAUAUAUAGUAGAAAAUCAUACAGAAUCAGCCAUCUAUUGAAGUUGAGAGUUUGGAACUUAAUUUAAGGAAUACAGUGACAGGAAAAGUUCAUGGUAGAGGAAGAGAAGAAAAUGGAAGUUUUGGAGGAGACCUGAUGGAACAAGUGUUGGGUAAAUUCUUUGCACAGCAUCAGUGUGGUAAUGCUAUACAACCAAGAAUGAAGGCAAGGUUCCUGCUCCAAUCAAAACCUCCAAUGGGUUGACAACAAAGAGCAAUGCAAUUCAGUGCUGUGUUAAGCAUGCAACUUGUCAGUUCCAUAGUUGCUUGUUUUUCCCUUUUAAUUUGCUGAGUGUAGUGUUUGAGUUGCUAAAUCAAUGUCUAAAAGUCUUCUGACCCUGUCCUUCCAAAAUGAGAUGUGGCCUGCCUUAAUCAGUCCAAGCUCGUGCAAUAGAACAGCUCCUAUGUUAGCAAUACUAAUUAAAGCAACAGCUCUCCUUUGAGGAAAUCCACGAUCCCUUGAUUUUGAUGUAGACUAAGCAUACAGCUGUAUCUAGAAACAGGCUAGCAUCAGAGAACCUUCCCGUGUAAGAAUGUUCAGUUAAAAAAAAAAGUCAAAUCUAUUACCUAUCUGAGCCACUACCUUAAAUUCUGUCUACAGCAACCUUUUUACAAAGUUACAAAAUAAUAUUGUAUCAUAAAAGUAAUGCAUAAUUCAAUAAUAAGCACAUAUGUACAUUAUAGUAGUAGUGCUGGUUCUUAUGAUGUACCUGAUUUUGCAACAUUUGAAGGUUGUGUGUUGAACAUAAAUACAGAAAGAA